rnacentral:rRNA from 1 species
ACGGGAGGCAGCAGUGAGGAAUAUUGGUCAAUGGGCGGAAGCCUGAACCAGCCAAGUCGCGUGAAGGAUGAAGGUUCUAUGGAUUGUAAACUUCUUUUGUUCGAGGGUAAAGUGAGUCACGUGUGGCUUAUUGCAAGUAUCGAACGAAUAAGCAUCGGCUAACUCCGUGCCAGCAGCCGCGGUAAUACGGAGGAUGCGAGCGUUAUCCGGAUUUAUUGGGUUUAAAGGGUGCGUAGGCUGUUCUUCAAGUCAGAGGUGAAAUACCGGGGCUCAACCCUGGAACUGCCUUUGAUACUGGAGGGCUUGAAUACUGUUGCCGUGGGAGGAAUGAGUAGUGUAGCGGUGAAAUGCAUAGAUAUUACUCAGAACACCGAUUGCGAAGGCAUCUCACGAAGCAGCGAUUGACGCUGAGGCACGAAAGCGUGGGGAUCAAACAGGAUUAGAUACCCUGGUA